rfam:Picea glauca, whole genome shotgun sequence.
ACAUGCCUACAACAUAGAGUUAAUGCACCAGACCCCAUUAGAACUCCGCAGUUAAGCUUGCUCAGGCUAGAGUAGUACUGGGAUGGGUGACUGCCCAGGAAGUCCUUGUGUUUUACAUGCC